UCAAGAAGGCACAAUGGUAUGCGGAAGGUGCACAAACACCCACUUCCGACUCUGGGAAGCCGGACUGACAAUUACAACACUGUACAAGACAAGAGUACCUCCAUUUGGAUUGCUGCUUGAUAGGUUGAUAGAGGUAGUUUAUAACUUGAUGCCUCGUCAUCGUUGUGUGCUGGCAGAAUUGGAUACUGUUGUUCCUGGUUUCUGAUUGGCUGAUCCAGAAGGAAGGUGUAAACUACCUGAUAAACAAGAAGACUAGGUCAAAACCUAGUAUGUGACCGUGUGUGGUCAGUGUGCUCAGUGUGCCUAUUCAUUUUGAAAGAGUCAGCCAUCUCUUUGCCUAAAAAUUCUGAGUCUCAUUCCCCCUCUAAUCGAAGUCCAAGCCUCCCAGUUUGUCAGGUUUUGGUACUCCUUCAGGCCUUCAUCCCCCCAGCCCAGGCUUGGACCUGUUUGAUCCCUUUUCUCAUCCCCAGGGUUGAACAAAAAUUCUUUCCCUUGACCAUUCCUACUUGAGUCACUGUUAGAUAGUUUUUUCAUUAUUCAAAUCUUACUGCUACUGCCUCUAAUUUAAUUACAAUCCCCCUCCUGAUCCCACUCCAGACACUCUAUUUAACUCUUACCUUUAAGAACAGAAAUGGCCUUGGAAUGAUUAAUUUACACAUUAGAAGUUUGAUGGUGGUGUCAUCUGCGAACUUCACAACAGAGUUCUCUCCAUGUCGGAGAUGCAGUCGUGGGUUUACAGCGUGAACAGGAGGGGGCUGAGCACACAGCCCUGGGGGGCUCCGGUGUUGAGCACUAGAGUGAGGAGGUGAGUCCACCAAUCCGAACUGACUGGGGUGUGAGGAAGUCCAGUAUCCAGGUGCAGAGUGUUGUAUUUAAACCCAGAGUGCUGAGUUUGCUGAUCAGCUUCAUGGGGAGAUUGUGUUGAACACUGAGCUGAAAUCCACAAACAGCAUUCUGAUGUACAGUAGGUACUGUUUUUCUCAGGCUGAGUGGAGGGCAGUGGAGAUGGCAUCCUCUGUGGAUCUGAAAGCUAACUGGUGAGGGUCCAGGAAAGGCUUGUGAUUGGUUAUAGAAUUAUUUGUUUAAGAGACAUCAUUAUGUGAGGUUGGGGAUUGUCCACUCUGAGUUCUUGUCUGUAACAAAACAAAACAAAAUUUUGUUUAGCCACUCUCUUUUGCCCACUUUUCCCAAACCAAGCUAUAAUGAUUUGACUUUGGCUGUAAACAAUUUCAAGGAGUAAUGUAUUUUUUAUGUUAAUGCAAGUCGUGGCAGCAGUUGGUUUAGAAUAAAUAUAAAAAGCCAGAAGAACUACAUGAAACUAUUUUAAAACUAUUAAGUAAAGCUUUGAACAACCUAUUAGUGAUCAAGAAUCAUUAUCAGUAUACAACACAUGGUUGGACAACAAAGUGAAAGUGAAAGUUUGCAGUCCCUUCAUGCUCCACACCUAGAACAUAAUGUAAAACACUCAACAGGUACAUGGACACAAAUAAACCAAUAUACACACCACAACCAAACAAGACAGGUAAACAUGCAGAAACAAGAAUCACAGAACAGACUGACCAAAAUCAAAUAAACAAAACAGGCAGAGAUAAACUAACUAACGCUAAAGAACCUGAGUUGUAACUCAAUUUCUGCUGUGAUUCAAAAUCUGAUUCACAACAUGCAGUCUCUCACCUCACACACCCUUAAAAAUUAAUAAAGAAAAAAACCUCACAAAGUUUCACUCUCACUGCCAGAGCUCUGAGCGUAGACCCAAUGAAAGACUACAGUGUUAGUGGGAGGGAGGGCAGCCAUUUGGACCCUGACUGGGCCUUCAGUCACCCAUGGUUGUCCCGAUUGAGAAAGUACCUUUGAGAGAAACGGACUCACUGAGCUACUUUUGUCCCUGUUCCAGGCCUGGAAGGCUCACCUCAUGGGAAGGGAGGGCUGUAAACAAAACUCACGCAGGACUGUGGUGUCCCAGAGAACCCAGCCAGCACAAGGCAGGGCUGUCGGUGGAGCCAAGCUAAAGCAGGCCUUGUCGGUCGGGGCCAGAGCCAGACCCAUGGGAAGAGGCAGCCGGAUCCCAGCCCUGGCACCUCUGGCCAAAGGACAUACACCAGGGAAGCACACUUAGAAACUAUUCCUCUCCUUGUAGAAGCAGUACUGAGAGGAGAGUAAGAAGGAGGUUUGGUUACAAGCAGAAGACUUUUCCUCCCUUGGCAACCCUGCAGCACACGAUGUUUCAGUCCUACAGACACGGACAACCUGAGUGUAGCUUUGCUGUCAGCUCCACGCUUUGCCAUCUGUUUACAUAUUUAUUUUUAUUUCUUAUCUUAAAUAAAUUAUAUAAAAGAAAUGAAGUAGCACUUUGCCAAAGAGAUGAUUCUUCACCGCAGAAUUUUCAGCACAGUUUGGACUUUAAUUUGUUUUCCUUAAUGCCUACUGACAAUCUUGAGUAGAUGGCACAGUUUUAUAUGCUCACAAGUUGACCUUUUAACUUAACAGAAUUAUUCAAAUGAUAUAAACACAAAAUGCAGAUGAAUGUACGGUAUACAGUAGAAUUUGUAUAGCACCUGUUUUAUGUUGUUUUUUUCAAGUCUACUUGAUUUCUGCUGAAUCAACAAACAGUUUAAGGCACUUCAAUGGCUUUAAAAUGAUUUUAGCCACAAAGUCAGAGUUUAAGAACUCACAAUAAUCACUAUAACUAUAAUAAUAGCUGUAAUUUUACAACUUCUAUAGUACAGUGUUAUGACGAUAUUGAUUGUAAUAUAUCUGUGAUUCGUCUACAGCCAAGAACUAACAGAAACAACCUUAAAACAGUAUGAGGUGUUUACAAAUUGUAAUGAUAGGAGGGUAAAUUCUUAAUUAAUCUGUGUGAGAACAGUAACUGUUGUAUUAGUGGAGAAACAACUAAACAACUUGAUUAGAGUUGGUGUAUGAGAGAGUAUAUUUGGUUUCUAAAUUACCAAUCCACCAUGUUGGCUUAAAUGUGCUUCUGUAUUGAGGACUAUUGCAACAGUGGAUAUUUUAUUGUGUUUUUAUGUGCAUAGAAGUCUGUAUUUACUUUGGCAUCAUUUUUUUUUCUGCAAACGAACCUGUAUUUGUUUAAAUAAAGCUGCAUUAAGUUGAACAUUG